GGUGAACUCGUGUUCAUUCAGUAAGUAGCUGCAGAAGGACGAAGGUGUGUAAAUUUUUCAGCCAUAGCAGGUACAAGGACGAAGACAAAACGAAGAAAAGGAAAGUCUUGAGAGCAAGAGACAUUCCUACGGCAUCGUGAGUGUUCCAACCCAUGCAUAUGUAAUCUGCCUGUCUGGUCACAUGUCACAUUUAGUAAACCGUUGUUUAUAUGACUGAAAAAUUGUUGAAAAAGACGUUAAACCCGAACACACACACACUCAUUUACAUGAUGACACAGAUGAAAUAGAAGUUAUUCCACUGGAAAAGUCGAGUCAUGCAGCAAGCAAAGGGUCCAGUGCCAUCUCCUGCAGUAGUUGGACCUUCAAGCAUUUUCAGCAGGACAUCUGUUUUAUCUAUUCCAAAUCAUUGGUUAUUGAAAACCUCCAGAACUGCAUGGUCAAAGAGGUAGACAUGAAGAGAAAAAGGAUUAUAUGACUAUCUAUGGACUCCAUGAUAGAUACCUAUGGAGGCAGGCCAACUGACACAGAAACUCUGCAACUGACUGGGACACUAAUGGCAUUGUAUCCGAUACUGAGGGAUAAUACAAACAAUGGAAUCUGAGGGAAAAUAUGUAAUUCGGCACUUAGAUCCGAUAGAUUGACGACACUGGGCGGACUGAGCACAGGAGCAUAAAGGCCUAGCAGACAGGACAUUCUGGACAAUGACUUAAGAAAAUAGGAGACAAAAUGGCAUUCCUUUUGUUCAUCAAGUACAAAGUGUUGCUGAAGUGCUCCCCAGCUGAGGUUGUACUGUUUGGUGGAUGAGGCAUAUCUAAGUAACCUGAAUCGAUCCUUGCUGUUCAGUAGAAGUUGCAAGACCUUAUCCGUGACAACACUAACAAGGCAAUGAAGUCAUACCAGUCAUUCAUAGAUGCUAUGCCUGAGGAAAAUAUAUUAUAGAACCAGAAAUUUUUGCUAUCUUCCCAGUAUGUGUCACAGAAAUAAACAUGUUGUGACAGGACUUUAGUGUUUCAAUAUUGAAAAUGACGAGAAUAUUUAAAAAAUUGAGGAAAUUUUUUUAUGCUACUACAUGCAAAGAAUAGAAAAUGAAAAGGCUAACUUUUUAGCUCACCUGUCACAUAGUGACAGGGCGAGCUUUUGUAAUCGCCUGUCGUCCGUUCAUCCGUCUAUACAGCUCUGUUCAGAUGUAUUUCCGAGAGUAUACAUAUAGCUCUGUUCAGUUUUGUUUCAAAGAGUAAACAUAUAGCUCUGUUCAGUUCUAUUUUUGAGAGUAUACAUAUAGCUCUGUUCAGUUUUAUUUCCAAGAGUAAACAUAUAGCUCUGUUCAGUUUUAUUUCUGAGUGUGUAAAUGUAGCUCUGUUUAGUUAUAUUUCCAAGAGUGUAAAUAUAGCUCUGUUUAGUUUUAUUUCUGAGAGUGUAAAUAUAUCUCUGUUCAUAGUUUUAUUUCUGAGAGUGUAUACAGUUUUAUGACGUGUGUGUGUGUGUGUGUGUUCAGUUGCAAGAAAGAAAAUGUUCAGCAUUUACUAUAGUUCAUGUGUGGCCGAGUUGUAAUGGUCCAUGACAUUGGAACACUCGAGUACCCUUUCCUUAAGAUAGAUGCAGAAUUCUUUCAUAGUGAGGAAGACAAAAGUUUGAUGGUUGUACCCAGGACUUCUUUAUGCACCCAUGUAAAUUUGAAAUGCCACUACUUUUUUGUUUUGCUGGUUGAAACUUUUAACAUGUCAAAUCAGAUGUACUUCAUACUUGUUAUACAUACUUUAUGACGUUGUGAUGAAAAUAUUGCAUUGUUUUUGUGUGUUUUGUCUAUUAUGAUUGCAGUAAGUAAACUUUAAACAUUA
rnacentral:lncRNA from 1 species